rnacentral:rRNA from 1 species
GAUCCUGGCUCAGGAUGAACGCUGGCGGCGUGCCUAACACAUGCAAGUCGAACGAAGCAUUUCUGCGAUUCGUCAAGGGGAAUGACUUAGUGGCGGACGGGUGAGUAAUGUGUGAGCAACCUGCCUUUCAGAGGGGGACAACAGUUGGAAACGACUGCUAAUACCGCGUAAUGUACGAGAGCGGCAUCGCUUUUGUACCAAAGGAGCAAUCCGCUGAAAGAUGGGCUCACAUCUGAUUAGCUAGUUGGUGAGGUAACGGCUCACCAAGGCUGCGAUCAGUAGCCGGACUGAGAGGUUGAACGGCCACAUUGGGACUGAGAUACGGCCCAGACUCCUACGGGAGGCAGCAGUGGGGAAUAUUGGGCAAUGGGCGAAAGCCCUGACCCAGCAACGCCGCGUGAAGGAAGAAGGUCUUCGGAUUGUAAACUUCUUUUAUGAGGGACGAAGGACGUGACGGUACCUCAUGAAUAAGCCACGGCUAACUACGUGCCAGCAGCCGC